rnacentral:rRNA from 1 species
UUCCGUAGGUGAAACUGCGGAGGGAUCAUUACACAACAAAAUAUGAAGGCCUGGCUUUGCGGCCGGCUGAAAUAUUUUUUUCACCCAUGUCUUUUGCGCACUUGUUGUUUCCUGGGCGGGUUCGCCCGCCACCAGGACCAAACCAUAAACCUUUUUUUUAUGCAGUUGCAAUCAGCGUCAGUAUAAACAAUGUAAUUAUUACAACUUUCAACAACGGAUCUCUUGGUUCUGGCAUCGAUGAAGAACGCAGCGAAAUGCGAUACGUAGUGUGAAUUGCAGAAUUCAGUGAAUCAUCGAAUCUUUGAACGCACAUUGCGCCCUUUGGUAUUCCAAAGGGCAUGCCUGUUCGAGCGUCAUUUGUACCCUCAAGCUUUGCUUGGUGUUGGGCGUUUUUGUCUCCCUCUUUGCUGGGAGACUCGCCUUAAAACGAUUGGCAGCCGGCCUACUGGUUUCGGAGCGCAGCACAUAUUUUGCACUCUGUAUCAGGAGAAAAGGACGGUAAUCCAUCAAGACUCUUACGAUUUUUAACUUUUGACCUCGGAUCAGGUAGGGAUACCCGCUGAACUUAAGCAUAUCAAUUAAGCGGAGGAAA